CACGUAGGGGGCAAGCGUUGUCCGGAUUUAUUGGGCGUAAAGAGCUCGUAGGCGGCUCAGUAAGUCAGGUGUGAAACCUCCAGGCUCAACCUGGAGACGCCACCUGAUACUGCUGUGGCUAGAGUCCGGUAGGGGAGCGUGGAAUUCCUGGUGUAGCGGUGAAAUACGCAGAUAUCAGGAGGAACACCAGCGGCGAAGGCGGCGCUCUGGGCCGGAACUGACGCUGAGGAGCGAAAGCGUGGGUAGCAAACAGG
rnacentral:rRNA from 1 species